GACGAACGCUGGCGGCGUGCUUAACACAUGCAAGUCGAACGGUAAGGCUCCAGCUUGCUGGGGUACACGAGUGGCGAACGGGUGAGUAACACGUGGGUGACCUGCCCUGCACUUCGGGAUAAGCCUGGGAAACUGGGUCUAAUACCGGAUAGGACCGCACCGUGAGGGUGUGGUGGAAAGUUUUUUCGGUGUGGGAUGGGCCCGCGGCCUAUCAGCUUGUUGGUGGGGUAAUGGCCUACCAAGGCGGCGACGGGUAGCCGGCCUGAGAGGGUGGACGGCCACAUUGGGACUGAGACACGGCCCAGACUCCUACGGGAGGCAGCAGUGGGGAAUAUUGCACAAUGGGCGGAAGCCUGAUGCAGCGACGCCGCGUGGGGGAUGACGGCCUUCGGGUUGUAAACUCCUUUCACCAUCGACGAAGGGUUUCUGACGGUAGACGGAGAAGAAGCACCGGCUAACUACGUG
rnacentral:rRNA from 1 species